GAAAGAUGUGCUAAUACCGCGUAAGACCACAGCCUCACAUGGGGCAGGGGUCAAAGGAGCAAUCCGGAUAAAGAUGGGCUCGCGUCCGAUUAGCUAGUUGGUGAGAUAACAGCCCACCAAGGCGACGAUCGGUAGCCGACCUGAGAGGGUGAUCGGCCACAUUGGAACUGAGAGACGGUCCAGACUCCUACGGGAGGCAGCAGUGGGGAAUAUUGGGCAAUGGGCGAAAGCCUGACCCAGCAACGCCGCGUGAGGGAAGAAGGGUUUCGGCUCGUAAACCUCUGUCCUACGGGACGAAGGAAGUGACGGUACCAUAGGAGGAAGCCCCGGCUAACUACGUGCCAGCAGCCGCGGUAAUACGUAGGGGGCGAGCGUUGUCCGGAAUGAUUGGGCGUAAAGGGCGCGUAGGCGGCCUGCUAAGUCUGAAGUGAAAGUCCUGCUUUCAAGGUGGGAAGUGCCUUGGAUACUGGUGGGCUGGAGUGCAGGAGAGGAAAGCGGAAUUACCGGUGUAGCGGUGAAAUGCGUAGAGAUCGGUAGGAACACCAGUGGCGAAGGCGGCUUUCUGGACUGAAACUGACGCUGAGGCGCGAAAGCGUGGGGAGCAAACAGGAUUAGAUACCCUGGUAGUCCACGCGGUAAACGAUGAAUGCUAGGUGUAGGAGGUAUCGACCCCUUCUGUGCC
rnacentral:rRNA from 1 species